CAGCACUUAAUAAUUAAGACUUAAACAACAAAUCACAAUUAUGGCAUAAUAGUCCAGUGCUCACAAAUCACAAUUAAUCAACUCUCUGCAAACUCUACAAUUCAAACAGCUAGUUUGCAAACUCUACAAUUCAAACGGUUGUUUCAAGUAAUAAAACAGCCACAAAUAUAAAUCCAUAACACAAUUACACAAGUCUACAAUUCAAAGUUCAAAUUAAAAACCACAAAUCCAAAGUUUAAACUUUUCUCCAUCAUUUUCUAUUCUUCUUCACUUGACUCAUUGUUGUUCACAACUCACUCAUCAAACUUUCAUCAAUAAGCUGUUCUGCAGAAAGUAUUGCUUCCUUUGGAAUUCCAUCUAAAAAACAUGAAUAAAUCAUAAAAAUAAGAAACAAAACAGCUAGUUAGUAAUAAAUUGAUACUAUAACAAAUUAAUUUAUUUUAUGUAAUAAAUAAAUUUUCCAUACCUUUGUUCAUUUUCCAUUACGAAUUUAACACCCUACAAGAAUUAUGUCAAAACAAAUUAAACUAACCAAUCAUUCCUCCAAUUUCUUCCAUUUUAUAUUUAAUUUUUUUACUGUAAGUCUGUAACAAUGUUCUAAGUUCUAACAUUUCAAAAAUACAUUUUCGAAUCUAUUAACAGCAACAAAUCCAUUAACAACAACAAUUUAUUUUUAACUGUAACAGCUUUCUAACAUUUGAAAUAUACAAUUUCGAAUCUAUUAACACCAACAAUCAACAACAUUUCAAGCAUAAAUUAGUGGUGUUCACGGCAGUAUAAGUGUAUAACACAACACAAAUCAAUAUCACAAAUCGCAUAGCACAAAUCACAUAAAUCAGUGGUGUUCACAACAGUAUAACACAACACAAAUCAAUAUCACAAAUCACAUAGCACAAAUCACAUAAAACAGAGUAUAACAGCUACUCACGCCGGUGAAUCAAACGAAUUGAGGAACUACACUGCUGCAAGCAUGCGACGGUGGUGAUUCUGGUGAACCAAACGAGCUGCGACGAACCGCGAACCCAACCUUGCGACAACAGCGAACCGACCUUGCGACGGUGGCGAACCCAGCCGAGAGUUGUUUGACUUGCUUGCGGGACAACGGAAGGCGGAAGGCGGCAGCGGCGGCACAGCUAGGGUUU
rnacentral:lncRNA from 1 species